AGUGAACGCUGGCGGCAGGCCUAACACAUGCAAGUCGAACGGCAGCACAGCAGUAGCAAUACUGUGGGUGGCGAGUGGCGGACGGGUGAGGAAUACAUCGGAAUCUACCUUGUCGUGGGGGAUAACGUAGGGAAACUUACGCUAAUACCGCAUACGAACUAUGGUUGAAAGCGGCGGACCGCAAGGCGUCGCGCGAUUGGAUGAGCCGAUGUCCGAUUAGCUAGUUGGCGGGUAAAGGCCCACCAAGGCGACGAUCGGUAGCUGGUCUGAGAGGAUGAUCAGCCACACUGGAACUGAGACACGGUCCAGACUCCUACGGGAGGCAGCAGUGGGGAAUAUUGGACAAUGGGCGCAAGCCUGAUCCAGCCAUGCCCGCGUGUGUGAAGAAGGGCCUCGG
rnacentral:rRNA from 1 species